AAGCUCGUAGUUGAAUUUCGGGCAUUGCGGUUGGGUCUUCCUUAAUUGGUUGUACUUGAUUCGCUUUGCCUUACUUUCUAGAUGCUAACAUGCUUCGGUGUGUUAUGUGUUCUAGGACUUUUACUGUGAAUAAAUUAGAGUGUUCAAAGCAGGCUUACGCUUGAAUACAUUAGCAUGGAAUAAUAAAAUAGGACUUUGGUUUUAUUUUGUUGGUUUUAAAGACCAAGGUAAUGAUUAAUAGGGAUAGUUGGG
rnacentral:rRNA from 1 species